AUUGAACGCUGGCGGCAGGCCUAACACAUGCAAGUCGGACGGUAGCACAGAGGAGCUUGCUCCUUGGGUGACGAGAGGCGGACGGGUGAGUAAUGUCUGGGAAACUGCCUGAUGGAGGGGGAUAACUACUGGAAACGGUAGCUAAUACCGCAUAACGUCGCAAGACCAAAGAGGGGGACCUUCGGGCCUCCUGCCAUCGGAUGUGCCCAGAUGGGAUUAGCUUGUUGGUGAGGUAAAGGCUCACCAAGGCGACGAUCCCUAGCUGGUCUGAGAGGAUGACCAGCCACACUGGAACUGAGACACGGUCCGGACUCCUACGGGAGUCAGCAGUGGGGAAUAUUGCACAAUGGGCGCAAGCCUGAUGCAGCCAUGCCGCGUGUGUGAAGAGGGCCUUCGGGUUGUAAAGCACUUUCAGCGGGGAGGAAGGCGGUGAGUUUAAUAAGCUCACCGAUUGACGUUACCCGCAGAAGAAGCACCGGCUAACUCCGUGCCAGCCGCCGCCGUAA
rnacentral:rRNA from 1 species